UACGUAGGGUGCGAGCGUUUGUCCGGAAUUACUGGGCGUAAAGAGCUCGUAGGUGGUUUGUCGCGUUGUUCGUGAAAUCUCACGGCUUAACUGUGAGCGUGCGGGCGAUACGGGCAGACUGGAGUACUGCAGGGGAGACUGGAAUUCCUGGUGUAGCGGUGGAAUGCGCAGAUAUCAGGAGGAACACCGGUGGCGAAGGCGGGUCUCUGGGGCAGUAACUGACGCUGGAGGAGCGAAAGCGUGGGGAGCGAACAGG
rnacentral:rRNA from 1 species